rnacentral:rRNA from 1 species
GACAGAGGAGCCAAGCGUUGUCCGGAUUGACUGGGCGUAAAGCGCACGCAGGCGGCCGUGCACGUGGGGUGUGAAAGCUGGCGGCUUAACUGCCAGACGCCACCUCAUACGGCACGGCUCGAGCCCGUGAGAGGUCCACGGAAUUGCCGGUGUAGUGGUGAAAUGCGUAGAGAUCGGCAGGAACACCCAGGGGGAAACCAGUGGACUGGCACGGUGCUGACGCUCAGGUGCGAAAGCGUGGGGAGCGAACCGA